CUUUCAUAAAUGAAUGUGAGUUUAUUAUCAAGUGUAGUAUAUGUUCUUAUCAAUUUAAUAUUUAAUAUAUGAAUCAUUGACUCACACGAUAUUAAUUCUAUUUUUUAAGGGGGAAGGUCCAUUACGGUAGCUUACUAUCGGGAUCUUCAAUCAUUCCCAUGAUGUUCCACCAUAUUCUUGGCCUGGUGCACUCCAC
rfam:Solanum lycopersicum cultivar Heinz 1706 chromosome 7, whole genome shotgun sequence.